CUUUAAAAAUCUGGAUCAAGCUGAAAAUUGAAACGACACACUGUUUAAGUGUGUUCGAGUCUCUCAAAUUUUCGCGACACGAUGGUGUUUUACGAAACAUCUUCGG
rnacentral:sRNA from 2 species